rnacentral:rRNA from 1 species
UACGUAGGGGGCAAGCGUUGUUCGGAAUUACUGGGCGUAAAGGGCUCGUAGGCGGCCAACUAAGUCGGACGUGAAAUCCCCAGGCUCAACCUGGGAACUGCGUCCGAUACUGGAUGGCUUGAAUCCGGGAGAGGGAUGCAGAAUUCCAGGUGUAGCGGUGAAAUGCGCAGAUAUCAGGAGGAACACCGGUGGCGAAGGCGGUGGUCUGGGCCGGAACUGACGCUGAGGAGCGAAAGCGUGGGGAGCGAACAGG